UGCCAGCCGCCGCGGUAAUACGGAGGGUGCAAGCGUUGUUCGGAAUUAUUGGGCGUGAAGCGCGUGUAGGCGGUUCGUUAAGUCGGAUGUGAAAACUCAGGGCUCAACCCUGAGACGCCAUUCGAUACUGCGCUGACUAGAGUCCGGUAGGGGAGCAUGGAAUUCCUGGUGUAGCGGUGAAAUGCGCAGAUAUCAGGAGGAACACCAGUGGCGAAGGCGGUGCUCUGGGCCGGUACUGACGCUGAGGAGCGAAAGCAUGGGGAGCAAACAGGAUUAGAUA
rnacentral:rRNA from 1 species